rnacentral:rRNA from 1 species
UAAGCGACUAAGCGUACACGGUGGAUGCCCUGGCAGUCAGAGGCGAUGAAGGACGUGCUAAUCUGCGAUAAGCGUCGGUAAGGUGAUAUGAACCGUUAUAACCGGCGAUUUCCGAAUGGGGAAACCCAGUGUGAUUCGUCACACUAUCAUUAACUGAAUCCACAGGUUAAUGAGGCGAACCGGGGGAACUGAAACAUCUAAGUACCCCGAGGAAAAGAAAUCAACCGAGAUUCCCCCAGUAGCGGCGAGCGAACGGGGAGCAGCCCAGAGCCUGAAUCAGUAUGUGUGUUAGUGGAAGCGUCUGGAAAGGCGCGCGAUACAGGGUGACAGCCCCGUACACAAAAAUGCACAUGCUGUGAGCUCGAUGAGUAGGGCGGGACACGUGGUAUCCUGUCUGAAUAUGGGGGGACCAUCCUCCAAGGCUAAAUACUCCUGACUGACCGAUAGUGAACCAGUACCGUGAGGGAAAGGCGAAAAGAACCCCGGCGAGGGGAGUGAAAAAGAACCUGAAACCGUGUACGUACAAGCAGUGGGAGCACGCUUAGGCGUGUGACUGCGUACCUUUUGUAUAAUGGGUCAGCGACUUAUAUUCUGUAGCAAGGUUAACCGAAUAGGGGAGCCGAAGGGAAACCGAGUCUUAACUGGGCGUUAAGUUGCAGGGUAUAGACCCGAAACCCGGUGAUCUAGCCAUGGGCAGGUUGAAGGUUGGGUAACACUAACUGGAGGACCGAACCGACUAAUGUUGAAAAAUUAGCGGAUGACUUGUGGCUGGGGGUGAAAGGCCAAUCAAACCGGGAGAUAGCUGGUUCUCCCCGAAAGCUAUUUAGGUAGCGCCUCGUGAAUUCAUCUCCGGGGGUAGAGCACUGUUUCGGCAAGGGGGUCAUCCCGACUUACCAACCCGAUGCAAACUGCGAAUACCGGAGAAUGUUAUCACGGGAGACACACGGCGGGUGCUAACGUCCGUCGUGAAGAGGGAAACAACCCAGACCGCCAGCUAAGGUCCCAAAGUCAUGGUUAAGUGGGAAACGAUGUGGGAAGGCCCAGACAGCCAGGAUGUUGGCUUAGAAGCAGCCAUCAUUUAAAGAAAGCGUAAUAGCUCACUGGUCGAGUCGGCCUGCGCGGAAGAUGUAACGGGGCUAAACCAUGCACCGAAGCUGCGGCAGCGACGCUGAUGCGUUGUUGGGUAGGGGAGCGUUCUGUAAGCCUGCGAAGGUGUGCUGUGAGGCAUGCUGGAGGUAUCAGAAGUGCGAAUGCUGACAUAAGUAACGAUAAAGCGGGUGAAAAGCCCGCUCGCCGGAAGACCAAGGGUUCCUGUCCAACGUUAAUCGGGGCAGGGUGAGUCGACCCCUAAGGCGAGGCCGAAAGGCGUAGUCGAUGGGAAACAGGUUAAUAUUCCUGUACUUGGUGUUACUGCGAAGGGGGGACGGAGAAGGCUAUGUUGGCCGGGCGACGGUUGUCCCGGUUUAAGCGUGUAGGCUGGUUUUCCAGGCAAAUCCGGAAAAUCAAGGCUGAGGCGUGAUGACGAGGCACUACGGUGCUGAAGCAACAAAUGCCCUGCUUCCAGGAAAAGCCUCUAAGCAUCAGGUAACAUCAAAUCGUACCCCAAACCGACACAGGUGGUCAGGUAGAGAAUACCAAGGCGCUUGAGAGAACUCGGGUGAAGGAACUAGGCAAAAUGGUGCCGUAACUUCGGGAGAAGGCACGCUGAUAUGUAGGUGAAGUCCCUCGCGGAUGGAGCUGAAAUCAGUCGAAGAUACCAGCUGGCUGCAACUGUUUAUUAAAAACACAGCACUGUGCAAACACGAAAGUGGACGUAUACGGUGUGACGCCUGCCCGGUGCCGGAAGGUUAAUUGAUGGGGUUAGCGCAAGCGAAGCUCUUGAUCGAAGCCCCGGUAAACGGCGGCCGUAACUAUAACGGUCCUAAGGUAGCGAAAUUCCUUGUCGGGUAAGUUCCGACCUGCACGAAUGGCGUAAUGAUGGCCAGGCUGUCUCCACCCGAGACUCAGUGAAAUUGAACUCGCUGUGAAGAUGCAGUGUACCCGCGGCAAGACGGAAAGACCCCGUGAACCUUUACUAUAGCUUGACACUGAACAUUGAGCCUUGAUGUGUAGGAUAGGUGGGAGGCUUUGAAGUGUGGACGCCAGUCUGCAUGGAGCCGACCUUGAAAUACCACCCUUUAAUGUUUGAUGUUCUAACGUUGACCCGUAAUCCGGGUUGCGGACAGUGUCUGGUGGGUAGUUUGACUGGGGCGGUCUCCUCCUAAAGAGUAACGGAGGAGCACGAAGGUUGGCUAAUCCUGGUCGGACAUCAGGAGGUUAGUGCAAUGGCAUAAGCCAGCUUGACUGCGAGCGUGACGGCGCGAGCAGGUGCGAAAGCAGGUCAUAGUGAUCCGGUGGUUCUGAAUGGAAGGGCCAUCGCUCAACGGAUAAAAGGUACUCCGGGGAUAACAGGCUGAUACCGCCCAAGAGUUCAUAUCGACGGCGGUGUUUGGCACCUCGAUGUCGGCUCAUCACAUCCUGGGGCUGAAGUAGGUCCCAAGGGUAUGGCUGUUCGCCAUUUAAAGUGGUACGCGAGCUGGGUUUAGAACGUCGUGAGACAGUUCGGUCCCUAUCUGCCGUGGGCGCUGGAGAACUGAGGGGGGCUGCUCCUAGUACGAGAGGACCGGAGUGGACGCAUCACUGGUGUUCGGGUUGUCAUGCCAAUGGCACUGCCCGGUAGCUAAAUGCGGAAGAGAUAAGUGCUGAAAGCAUCUAAGCACGAAACUUGCCCCGAGAUGAGUUCUCCCUGACUCCUUGAGAGUCCUGAAGGAACGUUGAAGACGACGACGUUGAUAGGCCGGGUGUGUAAGCGCAGCGAUGCGUUGAGCUAACCGGUACUAAUGAACCGUGAGGCUUAACCU